UCAAAAACAUGUCCUUUUGUUAAUAAUUUAAGGUCUGACCUGCCCAAUGAUUAAUUAAAUGGCCGCAGUAUACUGACUGUGCAAAGGUAGCAUAAUCAUUAGUUUAUUAAUUGUAAGCUGGAAUGAAUGGUUUGAUGAGAAAAUAACUGUCUCAAUUUAAUUGUUUUAGAAUUUUAAUUUUAAGUGAAAAAGCUUAAAUUUUAAAGGAAGACGAGAAGACCCUAUAGAGUUUAAUAUUUCUGUAUUAUGGUUGAUUUUAGUUUUAUUUAAAAUUUUAAUUUGGAAAUAUUUUAUUGGGGUGAUAUUAAAAUUUAAUAAACUUUUAAUUUAUUAUAACAUUUUUUUUUGAUUAUUUGAUCCUAAUUUUUAGAUUAUAAGAUAAAAUUACCUUAGGGAUAACAGCGUAAUUUUUUUUAAGAGUUCUUAUCGAAAAAAAAGUUUGCGACCUCGAUGU
rnacentral:rRNA from 1 species